rnacentral:tRNA from 1 species
CAAAUUAGAGCUUGUUUAGAAAGUUUUUCAUUUACAUUGAGAAGAAAUUAUAUAAUUAAUUAAUUUGA